UUUCACAAUGGGCAGCCCUGUAGUUUUCGCAGUAGCCGUCAAGUUUGCUCUGUGGAUCCCGAGGCAGCCCAGUUAUAGCCGAAAAUGUCUGAACCCAAUGUGGCUGAUACUCGCCGGUUAAACUCAAAACCUCAGGACCUUACGGAUGCGUAUGGCCCCCCAAGUAACUUUCUUGAAAUCGACGUUUAUGACCCACAGACUAUUGGAGUAGGCCGGAACCGUUUCACCACCUAUGAAGUGCGGAUGCGGACAAACCUUCCUAUCUUCAAACUGAAAGAGUCUUGUGUGCGAAGAAGAUACAGUGAUUUUGAAUGGCUAAAGAAUGAGUUGGAGAGAGACAGUAAGAUUGUAGUUCCCCCCCUGCCUGGGAAGGCACUGAAGAGACAGCUGCCCUUCCGGGGAGAUGAGGGCAUCUUUGACGAAUCCUUCAUAGAGGAGCGACGGGUGGGCUUGGAGCAGUUCAUCAACAGGAUUGCAGGGCACCCCUUGGCCCAGAACGAGCGCUGCCUGCACAUGUUCCUGCAAGACGAGAGUAUCGACCGGAAUUACAUUCCCGGAAAAGUACGGCAGUAGGAACCUGGGCCGGAGGUGGUGUUGGGCUGGGGGUGGGUCGCAGGAGAAGGGAUGCACUACAUCUUUGCUUGUUUUUCGCUUUCACCUUAACAUUCAGGAGAUGCAGAAAUGACAUGAACAUUUAUUUUUGAGCGAAGUGUGUGCAUGUGAGUUUGUAAGUGAUGCAAUUCACUUUCAUUGAGUAACAUUUUCUUGUGCCUGUCAGGAUCUCUCUCUGUCUCACCUGCUUACACACUUGUAAUUUCUGUGUGUGUGUUUAUGUCAAAUGAGAUCUUUUAUAAAUAUUAAAAUGAAAAUAGAAGGAGAUUCAGUAGAGUGGCUAAGGCCUGCAGGAUUGGUCGUGAUCCGACAUAACUAGACUGCACCUUAGAAAGAUGCCUGUUCACGUGUCAUUGGUUACUUUUUCUGAAUACAUUUUCCCUCCUUUUUUAGGUAUGAAUAAAGUAAGUUUAUUGAUGUUUUAUUUUAUCAAUAUCAUGCUUGUUGGUUAAAGCACUGGCAACCCCAUUUUUUGCAUGCUCAUUAAAUCUUAAUUCACAGAUCAUGAAAUUAUGUAGGGCAGUCAGAUUUGAGGAUUACUUUUUUUGUUUGUUUUAUUUUGCUUGGCAUCUAAACAAAUUCUGUCUGCACUUGCUAAUGACUCCCUCCCACGUUCAUUCAUAUUAUGGUUGCAUGAGAUAGCUGCAUGUUUGGGAAAAUCUGCAGAUUGACAUUAUAUUGGAACAUUCUCUCCGUCCACUGCCCAAUAACACUCACAGACAUGUAAAUUGGUUCUGGGUGGUGUUCAUAGGCACCUCCUCUGAACGCCUGUGCUUGUUCUCCAUCUUUCUAGCUGAAACCUGGAACCUGGCCAAUCUGUGUUUUAAUUUGUGGUAUAAUAUGUCCAGGACUUAGAUCCACUAUUGUGAUAAUGGGUCUACAAGAACACAUGAAUUCCAGAGCAAAGCUUCCUCCUGUAGCCGUAACAAAACAGGCUGUUCAAAGGUCAAAAUAAUUUGGUGAAUGCAUUGGCAAAAAAACAUAUUUUCUUUCAUUUCUGAAAAAAGGAAAAGUGUAGAUACAGUUUUUUGGUGCAUAUAAAUAUACUUUUCCAAGACGGAUUGUCUGGGUUUCAGCCGUGUAGAGUAUUACAAAGUAGAAGUGCAUGAUGAUGAUAUCUUGAGGAGUUGGGCUGGGCUGUUUGAUUGGUAAUGGGGACCGGUACUACACACUGCAAAACAAACAGGAAAGUAUCUGCAGCUGAUUUGGCAGUAGUUAACUGUUUUUCUAUGUUGGAUUAUUGCUCCACAUUACAGUACUGUAAUUGAGAUGGUUUGCAGUAUUUAGUUGUUCUUAUGGUAACCAACAGUUUAUUAUUUGACAUUAUACAUAAUGCAUUUCAGUUUAUAGUAGAAUUCUAUGCAUUUCACAUCCACAGUAUUUCAGUAUAUUAAAGGACUACAAAUUUACUACCAAAUUAUAUAUUUUAAUUUUUACACUAAUGCAUAAUUUAAUUAAUGUAUUCAUUAAACAUUGCUGGUGUACAUCCUCAUACGCUGAGACCAACUCAGUUUACUUUUCAUUACAUACAUAAAAGUUUCAAUUUUUCUCUAGAAUUUGGAAUACCCAGUCACACUUUGUGCUUUACAAAGCACAUGAUAUGAGCUGCAGCUCCUGCUUAACACACUGAAAUUGGGCUUGCAGAUGUGAGUCUGAGGAAGACACCUCCCGAGCAGCUUAACAGGAGGAAUUUUGAGUGCCCGAUAAACCAGCAGGGGGCGCAGGUGCUCGAUGAGAUGCUAUCAUACUGGCCGGCUGAAACGCCCCUCCCUCCCCUGAACAGCAUUUGAUCUGUUCUGUAGAUAAACUGCAGACUCGAUGAUACUGGCCAACUGGCUUCCUGCAAAUGCUGUCAUUACAUUUUAUCUGAAUCAGAACAUAAAAUAGUUGCACAAUCUAGUUUAAUUUCAACGUAGAAAUUGCAGUACUGUUUAAAAAGGAUUUCCAUCCAUUUCCAGUGGAUCCAAACAAGGCUAUUAUGCAAGCUACAUAUUAUUUUUAAGAUAGCCUUAGAAUCACCCCGUUUGCUUCUCAUUGUGUUUCAGGGGAAUGGAGCAACAGGUCAAGUGAUUCUAAGCAUCCCCAGUGAUGCAGAGAUGUGAUGCACUCAGCCCAGAUCCUUGCUGUCCAUACUGCCUUCUCAUCCUGAUAAAGCCCAUACUGCCCUCAUCGCAGGUGACCCCACCAGCCUCGCCCAGCUACGUGCACAUUUUGUAAAUAAGGUGCUGCUCGCCUUAUGCACACCCUGUUCUCAGCAAGACACUGUUUUUUCAAUCCUGCAGUCAACACAGAAUGUGGACAGCCUGCUAGUCUAUGGUAAAAUUGUUUUGUUUUUUAUUUUAUUUUUUAAAAUCUUGACCAAAAACAUAGGCCGUGUCCAAAUCAGUGCACUUGCCUACUAUUCAGUACAGUUGUUCUGGACACUGGAUGAGAAAGUUAAGUGGGCAAAAUUUUCUCUAAAUGUAGUGUACUUAAAAUCCCAGGAUGAUAUACUUAUUUCCUGGGUAUUGCUGACUAUAUUCGGGAGCAUACUUUUCAGGAAGUAAACAACAGUGUUGGUCCCAUAUAUAUAGAAGUGAGGCACAGCUUCGUUGACGUUUUCCUUCAACAGCAAGAACACACGAGCAUGGCCGCAAGGGCGGAAUGUUUUGCGACACUUCCACAGUACUGUUGGAAAAUAGUAUGGAGGAUAUUUUUUGCAUACACUAAGAGUGUGUGUGGGUGUGUGUGUAUAUGCAGUAUGCCUAGUAGACGACAUGUACUUUGAGGACACAGUAGUUAGGACACUGAUAACAGAUUUUAUAUGUGUUCCCAUUGUACCAUUGAGCCUGGCACCUCGGUUCACACACAUUCUUGAUUAAUGGCAGCAUGCUUGGACUUUAACUUUGUGUCAUUUUUUGGAAAAUAAUUAAAACCAUGUGACAUUGUACCGGAUAAGUGUAACCACAGUCCCAUCAAAAGCUCUUUGUUUUAUUUACAAAUUAAUUGUUGGUUGUGUCUGCUUAAAACACCUGAAAUGUGAAUAAGGAAGAUUAUUUAUGGAAUUACUAUCUAUUUCUUGCAAAUGGUGGCCUUAAUCAUUUCAAUAUACAUUGUCUAAUUAAGAACAGUUUGUUACAAGAUUGCAAUUGUGGAAAGAAAAAAACCUCCACACACAGGGCAGCCCAGGUUUGAGUUUGAGAAACUGUGGUCAAAUCUACUGGGUCAAAUGGCAAUCAGAGUAUUGCUGCUGUGGAGACACUGUUAAUCUUAAAAGAGAUGUAGGUAUUUAGAGAGAAAAAUACCACCACAAAUAACUGAACAUAGAGCAAUCCCACAUCAGUGCUACUCAACUGAGGGCUGCAGUGUCUGCAGGUAUUGGCUCCAACCACGCGCUACACCACUUGAUUUCAGAAAUGAUCUCAUUGGUUCAGGAAGUAAGCUCAUUAGUGCAGUCAGGCGGUGUAGUGCAGGAAGCAAGGGGACGCGCUCGUUUACGGACGCCCGGGACCCUCCCGGCCCCAUGGUCGGAGCAGACCAGGAAGGGUGUGGCAUUGCCCCCUGUCGCCGCUUCAUCCGUGCGGGCAGGUUGGCACCUCCCGCCAGGAGGGUAAAGCCUCACGACCUCAACGAGAUCACCUGGCAUCACUCUCGCCUCCCAUAAUCAGCCGCUUCUGGCAGUAAUAAAAGGGAAGGGGAGAUGCAGUAUGAAAAUGUAUUCCGCUUGCAUACUAUGGCCAGUAGAGACAUUUUAUUUUCUGAAAAUAUAACAAAACUACCAAAUGGCUGACAUGACAGAAAUGACUUGCUUGCCUUGCAUUAUGGUGGUCACAUAGGUGUAUUAUGGACACAUUGCUUAUAUUUAAGGACAUUGUAAGUGCCUAUGGCAAAUAACAGGGGCAAUUAUACUUCCGUAGCAGAACACACAUCCACUUCUGUGGUCUGUGGGGUACAAUUGACAUGUCGGUUUUUUAAUAUGAUUGGUCGGGCCAUGUUCUCCAUCCUUCCAGUUACUUGGCUGGCUUGCCUUGCAUAGCCAGCUAUCCCAGCAUGCCUUGCGGACGCAAAAAAUUAGCUGUCAUUGAAAAUGAAUGGAGGUCAUUACAAAUUUGCUUCUCGUUGAAGGAUGUGUGGCUUUACCUCCAGGGUCCAGUUUAAAUCAAGUGAAAACUCUGCCCUGCCAUCAAUCUCCCUCCUUUGAGACAAUUCUCAGUAAAUGGCCCCUCCCACUUGUACAAUGGAAACCCUCCCAAAAAGUCUUCCCAAUGGUGUGAUGGACCAUUACAAUGAUAUUGUUGGGCAUUCCCUUUAAAAAUAAAAAUGUUUGCUAAUGACAAUGUAAGAUACAAAGUAGCACGCACCAAUGAGAUGGACCAUGUCUUCCUGUUCUGUAUGUUCCCAUUAAACGGUUGCUUUCAAAUAGCAGACUGAAGAUUUUAUAUCAACACGACUUUGCUCUAUCAUUGUGUAACACAACUUUGCUUUAUCAUUGUAUAUUAUUCAGCAGCUUUCUGUAUACAUAACUGCUGCCAUGUCUUUUUUAUGUUCGUGUUCAUGUCUGCUGUGAGGAAUGUAACGUCAGAUAAUCAUGUUCUUAUUAAACCACUGUGAAAAUGAAGAAA